GAGGUUUGGAAAAACAGCGUGUAAUGCCCGGAAUUUCGUGUAUGACAGUUUCGGAACAUGCCUUUUCCACAAGUGACACCAUUAAUAGCUUUUCAGUAUUGAUUGGGAACACCAAUUCAACAGUUGCCCACUCACCGUUAACGUAAUCAAAGUCGAGGUGUUUGCAAUUGCUGAGUAUUUCUUUUGCUGUCUUUAACUGAAGUUCCCGCCUUUCCGAAAUGGAAACUGUGUUCUGCUUUUCCAACAAUUUCCUUUCUUUAAAAUCAGAGACACUUUCAUCGGACUUGAAACCCUCAUCUUCCUCUUCAUCCAUGUUUACGUCUUCAACUUUAUUUGAUCCUUUUAGCUGACGAAGGGCGACUUUGUCUGCCUCAUCAGGCCCCUCAUAAGAAGCAUGCUGUUUCGACCUAGAGACCAUUUUCUCAUUGGUAGCAUCAUUGUCUUCAUCUUCGAGAGCUUCUUGAGCACGACCUUCAAUGGGUGCUUCAUCGAUAUCUUCAAGUGGCUUUAAUGCCUGACCAACCUCAGGUACUGUAUCAUCUUUACCUCCUGACUUCCGCUGCUUAGAUUUAGCCAAAUAGCUUUUAAUAAUUCGGUUAAGAAUUUUUAAGAAUCUAUUACUAAAGGUCGACUCAAUCUCUUCCUGAAGAACACCAUAUUCAUCCUGAUAUUCAUCACGAGAAUAUAAAUCAAGUCGAAUAGCAUAAGUUUUAGAUUGUUCGUCAGAGCCUUGACCAGAAAUUUUUUCAGUUACUCGGACUUGUCGAACAACUUCAGAUAAAACCAAUUUAUUUACUUCUUUACAAAAAGCUGAAGCUCUUUUAUCGGAAACGCCGUCAUUCAAACGAAGAGUCAUCGUAGGA